CUGGCUUGUGCAGCAGAAUAGCCAGGUGGAAGAGGAAGUGUAGCACCUAGCAAAUUUCUGCCUCUGAAAUAGGCUUCUUCCACUACCAGUCCUUCCACUUCGAUCCCUGUGGGCUUGGGUUUGAAAUAUUGGGAAACGGCACAAGGGCCGUCAUAUUUGAUGCAGCAAGGGAGGUGAUGGAGAUGACCAGUGAGAUUUGGGAGUUGCUCUGAUGAUGCUAAGUUGUGAUUUUUGCUCAGAUUUAUCUUCCCUAUUGUUCCUGCUUCCCAAUGUCCCUCUCCUUCCAUUCUCUUCUUCCCAAUUUUGAUUCUGUCAAAAACCAGUGAGAUGAUAACCACAGCUUACACAGCUUUGAGGCGUGAAAUCAAUCGGAACGAGAGCAAUCGGAGAAGGAGACUUCUUUACUACAGAAGACACAGCAACAAAAAAUAACACUCACGAGCAGACUGAAGUUGGAGCAGUAAUGAAAGCUCGUGAAGGCGAUUAGAGGCCCGGAACUGGAAGAUGAG
rnacentral:misc_RNA from 1 species